rnacentral:sRNA from 1 species
AUAUCUCUCCGUACGGGAAGGAUGAGAAGCUUCGACCAAGGUUCGAUUCGAGCGCAGCGAGAAAGCGUUGCCGCAGGCAACGACCCGAAGGGC